rnacentral:rRNA from 1 species
CCUAACACAUGCAAGUCGAACGGGAAGCGGUGCAUAUUGCUUCGGUGAUAAUGUGCCGUGGAGAGUGGCGAACGGGUGCGUAACACGUAGGUAACCUGCCCUGAAAGGGGGGAUAACCACGGGAAACUGUGGCUAAUACCGUAUAAUCUCGCCGUGGCGGUGGUUACGGUGAGGAAAGCUGAGGCGAUUUGGGAGGGGCCUGCGGUCGAUUAGCUGGUUGGUGGGGUAAAGGCCCACCAAGGCGAUGAUCGAUAGCUGUUCUGAGAGGAAGACCAGCCACACGGGAACUGAGACACGGUUCCGACUCCUACGGGGGGCAGCAGUGAGGAAUAUUGCGCAAUGGGGGGAACCCUGACGCAGCAACGCCGCGUGGAGGACGAAGGUUUUCGGAUUGUAAACUCCUUAACUGGGGGAAGAGAGAGGACGGUACCCCUGGACGAAGAC